rnacentral:miRNA from 10 species
UGUCUGUGUGUGUGUGUUCAUUUGUCUGUGUGUUUGUGUGUGUGUGUACACAGAUAUACAUAUACAUACACAUACACAUAUA